CAACACCGGCCGUACCGCCGCCAUGGGGCGGAGGGCACACGGGAGGCGGCGGCGAGCGGCGUGAGAGCUGGCGUAGAGCUUGGGCGGGGCGGCGGCGGGGUCACGGUGCAGUGCGCGUUGUUUUUCCGGGUCAGCAGGGCCUGUGCCUGCAGUAAGGCUUUCGCGGGUCUCGGUUGAGGCGUUGUGAGGCGCAGCGCCUGACUACCCGCUCAUUGGCGUGCGAGAGGACCUGCGGUCCGUCAGCGGUCUCUGAGGAGAGACAGGUUUCUGCCUCCAUGUCCCAACUCACUGAGUAGAUGACUUCUCCCCUCCUCCUCUUGCGAGUUCUGGCAGACAAGUUGGGAUUGGCUCUAGCAAAGGUAGCACGGGCUGCUGCGGAACUCAGCUCGUCAGAUCUCAUAUGAAGACCUAAGAUUUCAUUUUCAAAACCACAUUAAAAAAAAAAUAAUAUCAAGUGAUACAGAUCAGCAUGAUAAAAUGUGUUUUAGCUGCUGUUGGAGAAAACACAUCUGUUAUGCUCUGAAGCUUAGAGAACGACUCAGCUCAACUUCAGGUAAAUGUCUAGGCUGCACCUAAGAAGUUCAUCAACUGCAAGAAAUAUGGACACUAAUUAAUCUCUGCUUUUAAUGGUUCUUAUUAUACUUUUGGCCAAGGUUAACUCACAGCUAAAAAAUUUCUGUCCUAAUUUAGCAGUUAGGAUUCUCUCUCUAAAGUAUUGUGCUGAGCCCUUGUAUACAAACUUUUUAUAUUACUGUGUGUGUGUGUAUGUGUAUCGUUAGUAAUUACAUAGUCUUUUGGAGUUUGCUCUUCUAAAGAAAAAAAAAAUCUACAUGUUUUUCUUUGCAUUUAUAUGAUAGGUUUCUUAUGAUAGGAUUUUAAUUCCCAAUUACCACAGCAGCCUUUCUCUUCACUAGUCUACUCCUAUUGGUCUGAAUUAAUCUUGUAUAUGGGAGAUCAGUAGGAUUUGAGAUAGGGUUUUACCAUGUCUGGUUCCACUGAAUCAGCAGCAUCCUGUCUCUAGGACAAACACUAUUUUUGCAAAAUUCUUAGAUCCGAGAGAAAAAAGCAAAGGUGUUCCAUUCCAAAAGGUCAUAUCGCAUAAUGUAAUUUGAAAGAUACUAUUAGAGGAUAUUGCUUGCUCCAUUUUGAAAGCAACUCAGAUAAAUGAAGUCUAAGUACUGUAAUGGACAGAAUGUUAAAUGUGUAAUAAUAGACAUUUUAGUGGUCUGCAUGCUCUGCCAUUGGAUCCAUAUGUAGAUACCCAUAUAUGGGACAUUAAAAAUGCAAAAUGCUUAGUUUAAAAUCUAGUAGAAAUUCUGAUGAUUAGCACUAGAAAAGUAUAAUGCAGACUUGCAGCGUCUGAGGCACAGACUCAGAUGUGAACAAUCUAAAAUGUGAAUGUAUAUAAGGGAUGUGAGAACCUGCAAUAAACAAGCUUUCUCUUUUAACUUUCCUACCUGCCUUUACAUGUCAACACAACAUUCCACAAACACUCCUUAACUGUGCAUGCAGGCACUUAUUCAAUCAGAGCCAUGAGUCGUUCCUAGCCACAUGCUCUUCCUCCAAUCAGGGUCAUCAUCACCUGGCCAUCACGCAUUUUACUUGACUGGUGAUGUCCUUGGUUCUUAGCCUUGCUUUCUCAUGCUGUUCAUCUUGUUCCACAGCUUCUGCUCUGAGCAGUCUUUCUUAUAUUCACAUUCACUCUGUGAGGGAAUAUGCACCUAAUUUAAGUGCCUACGUAAAGAAAAUAGAAUGACAUAAUUGACAUUGCUAUCCUUUAAAUACCAGUUAUCCAUGACUGCAGGUAUGACCAUGACUCAGGAGGUGACAGAGCAAGACAGAGCCAAUGGAAGUUCCUUUCUUGAAAUGCCUUUCUCAAGUCCUAAGUGUGAGCUAAUAAGCCAGGCAGUGAAUUAAAAAAUCACUCAGUGCCAAGAAACAGUUUUGUAUUUUCCCAUAACAGUUGUAUUUCCUCAUUUCAAUGUUUGAUUAAAUUGGUAUUUUAAAGGGUACAGUGCAGUCUUUUAGUGGCAGUAAUUAGAAGAAUAUAAAUUACAUUUAUUUCUGUGAGAGCUGAUUUUUAGAUCUUAGUUUUUGAUACCUAUUGGCCAAGAGCAUUCAUGUGUGAUUCACUAGGAAAUUGUCUACAUCUGAGGCAAUUACACAGGUACUUUGUUGUAGGAAGCUGUUAACUGAGUCCCUCUUUUCUUCAUGCUCAGAGCUGAGAUGGAAAAGAAAACAAAAGUUUAUUUUCUGAACCAGGAGGAACUUGCUCAGCUUCUUGUCUGUGUUAGACUUCAAAGGUACUCUAGGCUGCAUUUUCCUUGGCCUAUGCUUUAUAUAAAGGAGAAAUGGUUAUAAACAUGCCCAUCUUCCUCUGUUCUGCCUAAAGAAAAACCACUGUUUGGCAUUAGAUGUUAGCAUAAAUAAAAAUCUGAGACACUUACACACUUUUUUCUUUUGACACUUUAGCAUAGAAGAUUAGAGAUCAGGAACUUUAGAUUAAACUCAUGGAUCUGCCUCUGGCUCAAUCUAAAACCAUGAAGAAGAGUUACUUUCCUUCACAGUGGUGGAUUAACUGGAGAAAGAAAUAAGCAUUCCAAGAAUCUGCUGUUCUGCCUUCACAGUUCUUGAACUGCCAUAGUUUUAUAUGUAGCGCUCAUAGGAAGUACUCUUGGGUCACAUUUAUUUUCAGCUGAGAUUGUUUCAGCAUGCAAGGAUGGAUCUGGAAGAGGUUACUGCUGGCACAAUUGUGCAAGUGGUCCAUAUACACCCUAAGAACAUCCGUUCCUUUUGGUAAUGUCUUGCACUGCUAAUGUACUAGAAUUAAGAGAAAAGUAUUUAAUGGCCACAGAGCAAAAUUAAAUUGGUUUGGAAUGUAAGACAGAUUUUUAAAAUAAUUAGUAAAUAUGAAACCCACUAAAAGUUCGUGUUGAUUCUCAGUUAGCCUCGUUGUUCAAAUUAGAUUAAUUUGCUAUACAAAACUCAUUUAUGCUCCAGGUUCUGAUGCUAACAAAAACGCUUCUGUAAAACAUAAGUUCAUUACUGAGCAAAUGAAUGAAGAACAGAAUUAAAAUGAUUUCACAAAUUGAAAUUGUGCCUGAAUGCCAUUAUUACUCAAACCAGUGCUGUCGCACGGUUUACUGAUGCUUUUAGGGCUGUGAAGAUGUUAAUUCUGCAUCUGUAUGAUGUCAAAUACAAAAAAGAUCCUUCCACCACUAGAAUUACAAUUUAUCUGUGCUGCUAGAAGAAAAGGUAAUUCUACUCUUCCUUCAGUGUUUGUAACACAUAUGGCAAAGAAUAGAAAAGCUUUUUUUUUUUGAAGAAAAAAAUCAAAGCUUUUGUUUUUAAGUACAGAAACUCCAUUAAUUGGAGUUAGUUACAAUCAUGCAAGGAAUAUAUAUCUUGUGUACCGAAGAAAAAAAAUUAUAUACCUUUGUUACUGAAGGGCAUAUUCAACAAAACAAAUCUCUACAUUUUCUGCGCUACUUGCUUAAGGCUGGAAAAAUUGCUAUAGUGUCAGCUGUGUCUUCACUGUGAUGUGACUGUUACUAUAGUACACAAUAUUAACCUGAAGAACUUGAUGAUUGACUUCAGAUGAAUCUAGCAAUAAUUUAAGAUUGUCUCUUCUUGACUGUGAAGGUCUGUGCUUAUUAUAGCCUCCACGCAAAAGUAAUAUACAAACUAAAUUGGAUUCAAUCCUGCAAGGCCUUGGUCCUCAUUUAACAAAACAGAACUAAAGCAGAGAACUUAAUUUCUUUUUCAGUUUAAGGUUUGAAAAAGUGUUUGCAUACAAUGAAGCUACUUUUGUGGUUUUAUAUUUAAUGGAACUAUUAAUAUGUUAUAAAGAAAAAUGUAUUACUACUGUGUCUUCUGUGAUUUCACAGUUAAUCUGUUACAGUUUCAAGUAUUGCCAUGUAUUGUGAACAAAAAUGCUGAUUCUUAAAUAAUAUUCCAUAUGACACCACAGGUAAAUCUCUCUUGUUUUAUACAGAUUUUUAAAAUCCCUUGGGCCAAAUGCCCUUUGCAACAAAAGGGCAGAAAUGCCUCACCAUCAGGGGUCCAGGCUUUUAUAUCCAAGCCUGGUGGAAGAAGUGAAAUUCUAAUGAAUGAAACAAGGGCAAUAGUGUGAGACACAAGGAUGUCAUGGUUAUCUCUAGAUCUAUCUGUGUUUGUGACAGGGAGACAGCAGGCCCACAAGCCCACCAGCCUAAAAAAAGAGGUGGAAGAGUGCGAAGGGAUCAAAAAGGGAAAGAAAAAAACAACAAACAGUAUCAAUGAUCUUAGGAGGGAAAUUAAUUUACUAAUUAUAAUAGCAGAAAUGCAAGUUUAUUGGUAUUGAAGCUAAUAAAUCAAAUAAAAUGAGUUUCUGAAAACUGAGGUUCUUACUCUGACCUGACAGGGAGCAAAGAGAAAGUCUCAUGACUUUCACUCAGUUUUAUCUUUCCCGCCAACCGGAAAAUGGAAACAGAACAGCAAAGUUUUCUGGAAGCUGUAGUACAUUUCUUCUCUUCUGAGACUCCCAGUGCGCUAUAUGAUGUGAUGAUGUGAAAUACCAAUAACAAAAAUCAUAAAACCACAACAAAGGAGGAUCCUCAAAUGCAUCAAGCCAAGACUGGAUGAGAUCACAUGGCUUGCUAUUUAAAUAAAUUAACAAAAUAUGAAGUUGCUGUAACUUGUAUGAGGAGCACAGCAAAGAUCACAUGAAGAACCUGCAUUAGUAGUUGUUUCUUUCUUUCUUUCUUUUUUCUUUUUUUUGAACAGCUUGAUCCAGUUUGUCUUGUCAUCAACCCCUAGGGAGAAUGCUAGAGAGCCCUGAAGUGAUGAAAGGGCAGUUGAGCUGCCGCUUGGUCUUAGAGCUUCUGAAGGGAGGAAGUUACAGCCAUUCUGAGGGCUGAGCCAAGAGCCACCAAUAAUGAACCCAAAGCUCAGAAAUGAAGGCAGAACAGCAAGGGUUUCUGCACCGGCCUCUGCUGGGUGACAGCACAAGCAGAUAUAGAGGAUUGCCAUUUAUUUCAGACUAGGCUUAGCUUUUUAAAAAUGCUUGGCAACAACUGCUCUGGCUUAAGGUAGCAUAGCAGAAAGGGAAUGAAAUAAAGCCCAGGUGCCCUACUUGCUCUACCACACUCUUGGGCUUGUAUGGAAGCAGAUUUAAAAGGGAAUUGCAAGGAUUGCUUUUCCUGGCUUCUCCAGAAGUCCAGCAACUUCCAUGACUCUUUUUUAGGACCUCGUAGCUUAUAUGGAGAAUUAUCUAAUCAUUUAAUAUAUUCAUCCAUAUUUCUUAAUUAUACAACAUCAUGUGAGCUUUGAUAACUUGCCUCAAACUUACCUUAGACCUCCUUUCUUUAUGAGCCAAGUAAUUAUCAUUAUGUGGACAAAAAAAGAAAAAAACAUUUUAGCCUUCUUUAUCUUAAAUGUGCUACAGCAAACAUCUGACACAAAGGCCACGGAGCCGAAAUGACCCCAGAGCUGUGAGGAACUUUGUACAGCAUGUAUUUACAACUGAAGUGCUAUUAGCCUGUCUUUAAGACGAUUGUUUGCCUAAUUUGUGACCAAAACGAACGGUCCAUGUGAGUUCAGAGUGUGCAGCAUGCCCUUAGCCUCCUGUAUUAUUAAUACUAGGCAAGCAUCCAGAAAUGGUAAUGGAGACACAGGGCUCCUUCAGCACUGAAAGGGUUGCAGUCCUGGUAAUACGCUCUUAGCUGCUCAUUCCCUAUUGCGCACAAAUCAACCUAAUUAUCUAAUAAGUCAUUUUUCACACGUUAAUUUGUUUUUAAAAUGUUGAGUCAUUUGUCAGCAAGGCUCUCCUAGAUAGACCUGCAUGCCCUUCAUUGAUUUUGGGUGGAGGAAAAAUACAUGUAAAUACAGGACAAUCCAAUUUCAGACAGAAAUCAAUUACAUUUUUAUCAUUCAGGUGUUCAGGCUGACUACCAAUUUGGAGUCUUAAAAAUGCUUCUUUUCACUUCAAGAAAAGGUUAUAAUUUGCAUAAACAUUAAAUAUUACGGUUUUCAUUUUGUUGAACAAUUGAAAAAUCCAGUAUUUGCUGAAAAACACAGAUUGUCCGUGGUUUUCAUCAGGCAGUAAGAUCUUUGCUAAUUUUUUGAUGCAUUUUCCUGGACUCAUGUUUUAGUGGUAUGUGUGGACCUUAAGGACGCCAUGCAUACAAGUUACACCACUACAUUCAACUGUUUAAAUAAGAAACCAAAAGCAAUUACGGUAUUUUGGAAAUGUCUUCAUUAUUUCAGAGAAAAUUUAAUGGCCAAAUUCUACUUUUCAUAUUCAGUACAGCCUAGUGCCGUAGUGGUUUCCCCAUUGCCAAACCAGUGCUAAAAGAAAUUGUAAAAAAUAUGUUUAAAAUGUUGAAAACCAGUUCUGCAUGCCUACCAGUGAUCCUGCAUUGCUGAUUUUGUUUCUGUGAUGUGUGUUCUGCACUUUAACACUGCCUCUAAUGGCUCAAGGUAGGAAAAUGAAUUAUGCAAAUUUAUUGCAAGGAAAAAGGUAGCACAGUUUCCUGGGGCAGCGAAGAAAAGGCCCUUGAGGGAGAUCUUAAUAGAGUUUCAGAAUUAAAUGGCUCACUGGUUGUCAGCGUUCUUCUGCAUUUUGGUUUCUCGGUAGGGUGAAUUACUGGGAAACUAUCUGACCUCUUCACGUGUCUGUGCUUGCUAUGCAAAAUAUACUCAAAUGGUUACAGCAAGAACAAGAUACUGAAUGAGCAUCACUUGAUGAAGAGCAAAAAAUUGUGUUUUUAUCAUUGUUAUUUUUCUCUGGCAGCUGAGCACUGGAAUAAGCCUUUGAAAAUGGUGGCUUUGAGCAAAAUGCCUGAUUUGGGCUUUUAAUAAUAUGAGUCAAAAAUAACAUUAAAUGAGUAGUGAGAAUUCUUGAUGUGAAAAGGGGCAAUGUUUAUUACAAUAACACUUUAAAUGGAUACAAAAUUCCCUGAUCCAUUACGCACUACAGCAGAUGCCAACAAAGGGACUAUUUAUGCUGUAUUUUACCUUUGAAAACUAACGGCCAGAAACUGCCAAGGUCUGAUGUACUUCAAUAUUACCGCCUGGAUAAAUGGGCUAUUCAUGGGAUUGUCAGGAAUAAGUCAUGACAAAAGGAUCUGAAUUCCUUCCAUGACAGGGCUGCAGGCCUCGUGGUGGUUUAGGUGGUGCGUGCCUGAAUGCUUCAAAUGACACUCACAUGACACAAGGCACCCUACUUAGAACAAUUUGAAUUGCAUUUAAAAUAUAUAUAUAUAAAUAACGAAGAAGUGGCACCGGACCUGGCCGCGGGUUCUUUUAACUGAUGACUCAAAGGAUGAACUGGAAUACAGCUUUUACAUUCGCAGCUGAUAUAAGCCACGGAGGGCCGCGAUGUGCCCAACCACACUGAAGGCCGGGACAAGUCUCGCCGCCGCGCGCAGGCAGCCGGCUCGUGCUAUGGCCGUGCUCACGCGCGAGCCGCGGCCUCCUCGCGGCUACCAGUCCCAAGCGGCGCUCCUCUUUUCCCGUUUGCAGCCACGCCUGACGAGCCCUCGGGCCCCUGCUACCCCGGCCGGCUCGGACGCACAAACCGGCUACAGGGGCCGCCGGUGCUCGAAGGCCGUGCAAGAACGUGGCGCAGCACCGCGGCCAGGCGCAGCGCAGGGGGGCGGGCCGAGCCACGGCGGCGCCAUCUCAGCGCGCCCGGCGGGAGGCGGUGAUGGGGGUCGCCGCUUGGUGCUGGGUGCUGCGCGCCGCCCGCUUCUCCGGCCGCGGCGGUGGGGCGCUGACGGUGCCGCGGCGCCCUCCGGGCAGCGGAGCUCGCGCUGCUUCGUCGUCUGGCUCCGCGUCCUCAGGCUCCAGGGAUGAGGUUCUACAGGACAAACGCACUCGGAUCCUGUCACGGGGGCUGCCCAAACAAAAGCCCAUAGAAGGAGUUAAGCAGGUGUUGGUCAUAGCUUCUGGUAAAGGAGGAGUUGGAAAAUCAACGACAGCGGUAAAUAUAGCCCUCGCCCUAGCAGCAAAUGAUUCGGCAAAAGAAGUUGGUUUGCUUGAUGCAGACAUAUAUGGGCCUUCAAUUCCAAAGAUGAUGAACUUAAAAGGAAACCCAGAGUUAACACCAAAAAAUCUGAUGAGGCCCCUUAAGAACUAUGGAAUCGCAUGCAUGUCUAUGGGCUUCUUGAUAGAAGAGGCUGCCCCGAUUGUGUGGAGAGGGCUCAUGGUCAUGUCAGCUGUUGAGAGAUUGUUAAGACAGGUUGACUGGGGUCAACUAGACUAUUUAGUAAUUGAUAUGCCGCCUGGGACUGGAGAUGUACAACUGUCAAUCUCACAGAAUAUUCCAAUUGCAGGAGCUGUGAUCAUCUCUACUCCACAAGAUGUGGCUUUGUUGGAUGCACGCAAAGGAACUGAAAUGUUUAGAAAAGUCCACGUACCUGUUUUAGGACUAGUUCAGAAUAUGAGUGUUUUCCAGUGUCCCAAAUGUAAACAUGAGACACAUAUUUUUGGAGCACAUGGUGUAAGAGAUCUAGCAAAAACUCUUGGAUUGGAUGUUCUAGGAGACAUUCCACUGCAUGUUAACAUACGGGAGACCUGUGAUUCAGGACAGCCUAUUGUGAUCUCACAGCCUCAAAGUGAUGCCCUGAGAGCAGGCAUAUUGCGAGCAGGUUGCAGCAUCAGACAAGGGCAUCACGAACCUUGUACAAGUACUGAUGAACACUUCAUGACAUAAGGCCACUGCAGACUCAUGAAGACCAUAACAUCCAUAAGAAUUUCCAAAGACAUCCCCUGAAUCACAGAGGCUGGCUCUCAAGCAUAGAGCAGGAGGAGCUGUUUGCCAUCAUGUGCAUGGCAGUAUGCAGUCAGAGCUGAAGGGGUGCACCACCUGUAUGUCUUCUGUAUGCAAGCAAUCAGCCUGAGUUUGAGGCAGAAGUAUUAACCCAUGAGUUGUUGUACUACUAGUGUUAGCAAAUUGACUGCAGCCAGAGGAAUUAGAUGCUUUGACCUCUUUCACGUCUUCUACUGACAACUCUCUGUGAGUGGCAAACAAUUGUUUCCUUG